rnacentral:rRNA from 1 species
UACAGAGGGUGCAAGCGUUGUUCGGAAUUAUUGGGCGUAAAGCGCGUGUAGGCGGCUUUGCAAGUCGGGUGUGAAAUCCCCCGGCUUAACCUGGGAACUGCGUCUGAUACUGGAAGGCUUGAGUAUGGGAGAGGGAUGUAGAAUUCCAGGUGUAGCGGUGAAAUGCGUAGAUAUCUGGAGGAAUACCGGUGGCGAAGGCGGCAUCCUGGACCAUUACUGACGCUGAGGCGCGAAAGCUAGGGGAGCAAACGGG